GCGCGGCGGUCCGGCGGCUAUUUAUAGGCGGGUCGCCCCGCGCCCCUUGUAUUCUCCGGAGUCGCCUGUGUGGUGCCCCACCUCGACUCGCGGGCGUUCUUGUGGCUUCGGUAUGUGGGUAGGUGCGGUGGAUGGUUUGGUAACGGUUCGUUACAUUCUCCCCCCUCAGCAGGAGAAUUUUUACCUGUUAAAAAUUCACAGGUUAUGUAGAUACAUACAAGAAAAAAUAAA